UUCUCAAUCGUCUUUCUCUUGCAUAAACGCUCUCUGUCUCCCUUUUUCUCUCGAACAAUCUCGCCCUCUCUUCAUUCCCUCAGCUUGAUUCUUCAUUAGGUCUCUCAUUGGAAAAAUUGAAAUUACAGUAACAUCCUAGGUUCUCUACACUCGCAGCAGGGUAUUUUCAUUACAGCUGAAGAUUAUAAAGCUAAAUGCGGAUAUCCCAAGCAAGAUGAGUUUCUAUUUCUUUUUUUUUUUUUUCAUGUAUUCAUUCAUCAUUAGAUGUUAAGAAAAUGUUUAGUUUGAAAAAAAAGUGUUAAGUGUAGAAUGAAUGAAAUACCUUUGUUAUGAGCCCGCACUUUACUCUUACUCUUACUGCCUAUCACACAGGAUGCUGUUAUUUGUUUCAUCUUUGGUUUUGUUUGAUGUAACGAUCUUCUUUAGUUGUAAACUGAUACCAUUUGUAGUUUAGUAUUUGAGUUGGUAUGGCUUUUAUAUGUUGGGUUUUAGUGAACUGAAAAUUUAAAUUGUAAGUUAUUUCCAUGAUCCUGCAAAUAACUAAUAAAACAUUGAGAAAGAUUUUUUAUUUUUUUAACAUAGAAUGUUUAAAAAUCACAUAUUGCAUUUUUAUUCUGAAUUGUUAAGUUUUGUGAAGUUGAACUCUACUUAAAAAUAAAAGCAAUGCUUGAUUCUGCCUAUGGUUUCUUGUGUCAGAUGUGUGUGUGUAAUGCAAUACUGAACUUGAUAUUUUGGAAUGAUUGAAACCCUUUUCUGCCGAGAUGUUAAUCACAACUGAGUACUGCAAGUAUGGGUGAUAGCCAAUCAAUAGUCUAAGUCCAAAUGCAUUGUAUGGCAUGUACUUUAGGCAUUUUCCCAAAUUCUUUCUGGUAAUACAUUUCAAUUGGUUGAUGACUGCUUAUUUUUGUUUUAUAAAUGUUACUAAAAUAUAUCCCGAAAUAUGCUGAAAUACUACCUAAAACUUAAUUAAAAUUACAUACAUUGAAAUUGAAUCCAUCCUUAGCUGUAAUUACACAUCAUACACUCCAACAUCUUUACUUGAUCCAUUUUAUGUAGAAAGGAAUGUUGAUAUAACCACAUUGGUUUUCGUAAAAAUAAAACCAUGGAUUAGUAUACUUGAAUUCCUCAUUCCUAAUUGAUAACCAUGGAUUAGUAUACUGGAAUUCCUCAUUCCUAAUUGAUGUACACACUAUACCUGUAGUUACAAAACAACAUUUUAUAUAAGAAUUAAUAGCUGGUUUAAUAUACCUGUUUGAAACAGAAUUUAUUUCUUCUUGAAAAGGAAAAAUACAUAUUUCUAUACCUGUGUAUACAUAUUUCAUCCUGAAACAGAAUUUAUUUCCCUGGCCUGUAAACUGUUUCCUGGUAAUCCACAACAGCAGCAUUAAUGUUAUACAUUCUCUAAUAUUUGUAUACGAUUUAGUCAAUGUAUAUGAACUGACUAAUGUUUACUUGUAUAUAUUUCACUUGAGAUUUGAAUUCCCACUGACUAUGUUUUGAAGUCUUGCCUUUUUUUUUUGGAUGUACUGCAGCAGUUAGUCACAUAUGGAACGCAGAGCUCAAAAUCCUAAAAAAUUAAAGAGAGUCAAUGCAUUAUAAGAAGUUUAAACCAAUAACAACAGGCAUUCCUUGCUUUUGCUUGUUGUGCCUCACUCAUAUGGCUCGCCUACUGUUGAGAGGGCUAAUCUGACUUGUAAAGAUGUAUUGAGAUGGCAUUUCUAAACAACUUCAAGGAUUACGGUAGAAGCUUGCGUUUGAGAAUUUUGGCAUUGCACAGGACACACCCAUACUGGAAUGCAAUAUCUUUUGGUGAAAGAUACUGUUAAUAUGAAAAGUUACCAUUUGAAA